rnacentral:lncRNA from 1 species
UUAAUGGUCUUAAUAUUUAAGACAAUUUUAAAAAUAUUUGUAUUGUCUUAAGCAUAGAUGUAGACAAUGGAACGGAAUUUUGCUGCUAGAACUGUUACAUGUGAAAGAGAUCCUGGUUACCCUGAGUUACGGGCUGCGUUGUAACCGUGCAGCAACUUCAGCCCUUGCCUCCUCAGAAGAAAGAAUUAGACUGAGGCACAUAAAGCAGAAAAAGAGAUCAAGGCUCAGUGGACAACAUGGUAAAAGAAAAUGAUGAACUCAAGGAUUCUAUCUAUCUGCCAGCUUCAGAAGCAGAUACUGAGCCUCAAAUCUGCUAAGAUUGCCCUGAAUGAGAGUCUUAUCUCCUGUAGACAGCUGAAAUUGUGGAAGAACAGACACAAGCUCUUAUUAUGUGAGAGCUGAGCUGCAACAAAAGUUACAUGCACAGCGUAAUCCCAGCUACUCAGGUGGCUGAGGCAGGAGAAUUGCUUCAACCCGGGAGGCAGAGGUUGCAGUGAUCCAAGAUCAUGCCACUGCACUCCAGCCUGGGAGACAGAGAAAGACUCCAUCUCAGGGGAAAAAAAAGAAAAGAAAAGAAAAAGAAAAGAAAACUGAAUAAUACUCUAUUUUUCUACAAUGAAUCUAGAAGAAAAAGAAAAGACCAAAUAUAGGAUUACUUGAAUGAGAUACCGGGAAUGAUCUUCCCCAAUGAGAAGAAAUAAAUGUGUUAAGUGAAACAUAAAAAGGCAUUGCUGAACUGUUAUGGUAAUAAGGAAUCUGCAGAGACACAUUUGUUGGGAAAGUAGAGAUCCACUUCACUUCUCGGGAUCCACUCUGAUGGCUUCAUGGAUAACAGAUCAUAAACUCUAGGACUCAUCAAAGACAAAAAAGAUGGAAUUUGGAGGACAAGACAAGAGAUACUAAGAAGAGUAAACCCAAUAAACAGACUGCAGCACAGAAAGGGUCCAGGACCAGGGAGGUGGCUUGUUCAGGAAAGAGUUAACUCAACAGGUCUGGGAUAUUCAAAUCCCACACAUUUCGAAAAAAAGUUCUCUCCUCAUUGGCUCCUGGGAGAAAAUCUCUACGUCUUUGGACUAUUCUUCCAGGUAUCUACCCAGAAAAAUGGAACUCAUUAUGCAAAAGAGACACUUGCACAUGCAUGUUUACAGCAGCACAAUUUGCAAUUGCAAAAUGAUACUAAAAAAAAAAUCUUACCGGAAGGCAAAAAGAAUCUG